AGCAAUGAUACUUUUAUUAAACACAAUGUAAGUUAUAGUAGCUGUAAACAUGCCUAAAAUUAUAAUUACAGUGACUGAGUUUUAAUCCCUGCUU